rnacentral:rRNA from 1 species
GGUCGAUGCCUGUGGAUUCUGAAAGAUGACGGAUAAGGCCGGAUAACUGGCUUGAGACCAACUGGCUAAGGCUGUGAUAUGCGUGGCAUAGCGCCAAGGAUACAGUGGCGAGAUGAUUCCACCUCCUGCCAAGAGGCCUCACGCCGGCCGGCCACGGUCAAAAAGACGCACCGCUCUGCCGUUUCUGCCAGCUCAAGUGC